GUAGUUUUGACCUGCUGAAAUGGAGAAAAUUGCAAUUGGAUGGAGAAAAGAUUUGAUCAAAUGGCUUCUAGAACCAGUAGCAAGAUUUCAGUGAACUUGUGUUGAAUAUUCUUGGCACAAAAAAUGUCAACAGGUCUGGCUGUGUUCAAGGUGAUCCAGUUGAAAUUCAGUUGGACAGCUCUGUGGAUCUCUCAGAUGACUUGGAGGCUACAAAUGCAAGUAUGGGAGCAUGUUGUCCUCUGCCAGGCCUGUGCUGGGACUCGUGUCAGGGGAGCACUGAAUGCACAGAGAUCCCUUUAUGGAUCCAGGCAUGGGCUGUCUGUCAGGUUUGCAGCUCUAACGUGAGGACUCAUGGACCUUAUUUUUGGAUGCUCCUCUGAAAGCCCUGGGACAAAACAACAAUGACAUGUUUCCAGUUCCCCUCCACUCACGAAUCAUCUGAGAAAUGGGUGAUAUUUUGGUCUCCGAUCAUCCUGCCAGCACAAAAGGAACAAAUUUUGUUCUACCAUCUCCUAUAUUCACUCAUUAAGAGGUAGAAUUAAUGAAAGUAUAAAGCUGUAUGUACUCCAUUAGAAGAGUAAAAAGACCCUUCCAAAAAGUAACGCGUUUCCUAGUUCCGAUGUCCUCAUCCAAAAUGUAUUAGGGUUGGUAAAAUUCUUUUUAUCUUAAUUUUACAUGCAUCUCACUUUCUCAAAAGCAAUUAAAAUUCAUGGUUUUAAUUCAGUUUUUUUCUUAAAUAAAUUAGAAAAGUCCAGAACAUUUUAUUUUAUUAUGCAACUAUUCAGAAAUAAGUUCUGAUAACUUCAUGUGUUGGCAUAAAUCUUUUAUAUGCGUUCCUUCUGCGUGAUGCAUUUUGAAGUUACGAUCUGUAAAGUUAGGAAGAAAACCUGAGUAGAAUCUGAAAAAAUCCUCUCUGGUCCAGUCAUGACAGCGUGGGGUGUGAUCUGAAGAGCCAUUUCUCCGUAGUUUAUGCCAACAUACACACAUGAAAGGGAAGGUAAAAUCUGCUAAUGUGUACAUAAGCCUCACAGUUACUGUUGUCUAGUGCUGUGUCUAGGCAAUAACGUCCUAAUUGC
rnacentral:lncRNA from 7 species